rnacentral:tRNA from 1 species
GCGCGGGUAGCUCAGUGGUAGAGCGUUCGAUUGCAGCUCGAAGGGUCACUGGUUCAAUCCCGGCCCCGCGCU